GGCCAUCAUCAUCAUCUCCCUGUUGCUGGAGAAGGGACUUCAUCAUGUCGGGGAGUGGUUUAUCAAGAGGCAAAAGAGAACUCUUUUUGAAGUUCUUGAGAAGGUGAAAGCCGAGUUGAUGAUUCUCGGCUUCAUCUCCUUGCUGUUGACGUUUAGUCAGGACCAGAUCGCGAAAAUCUGCGUGCCAAAGGCAG